rnacentral:rRNA from 1 species
CAGUCGCCGCGGUAAUACGAAGGGUGCAAGCGUUACUCGGAAUUACUGGGCGUAAAGCGUGCGUAGGCGGUUUGUUAAGUCUGCUGUGAAAUCCCCGGGCUCAACCUGGGAAUGGCAGUGGAUACUGGCAAGCUAGAGUGUGUCAGAGGAUGGUGGAAUUCCCGGUGUAGCGGUGAAAUGCGUAGAGAUCGGGAGGAACAUCAGUGGCGAAGGCGGCCAUCUGGGACAACACUGACGCUGAGGCACGAAAGCGUGGGGAGCAAACAGGAUUAGAUACCCCCGUAGUCCCUGUCUCUUAUAC